rnacentral:rRNA from 1 species
UACGGGGGGGGUAAGCGUUGCUCGGAAUCACUGGGCGUAAAGCGCACGUAGGCGGACUCUUAAGUCGGUGGUGAAAUCCUGGAGCUCAACUCCAGAACUGCCUUCGAUACUGGGAGUCUCGAGUCCGGGAGAGGUGAGUGGAACUGCGAGUGUAGAGGUGAAAUUCGUAGAUAUUCGCAAGAACACCAGUGGCGAAGGCGGCUCACUGGCCCGGUACUGACGCUGAGGUGCGAAAGCGUGGGGAGCAAACAGG